GAUACCAAAACAACAGCAAACAAAGUAGUUCCGAAAGUUUAAGCGAAACCGAAACGGCAAAGGUGCCAGGGGGACCCCAUUGGGAAACUGGUAUUUUGGAUGGUCUUAAUCAGAUACGAGUGACGAUGACCACCGAAAACUUUAUAUGAACGGGUGCUGACGUCAGAAUGAAGUGUAUAGUGGUACAUGGAAAGACAACAAGAUAUUCCUCGACACAGAAGCAGCUCUUCCUAAGAUAGAAAAAGGACUGAAAAAUUACUACAUCGGUCGAUAGUCGGUAAAGCGGAAGCCAUCCAGGCUUCCAUUAGAAGUAGAUCUACGUCAUGCAGAUUCACGUGACUAAGCAUACAUUCUUUUUGUUGAUGUUGACUGAAGAGAAUAUAUGAGAUAAAAAAUUAUUUCGGAACCCUUAACCUCAGAUGCAGGUGAUAGCUGUCCAUUGAUAGAAGGCAUACAACUGUCAGCCAUCACAAAAGAAUUUGAUGUGAAGAAAUGAAUUCUAUGUCAACAAUACAACGAAAGUCAUAAUACCACAUCAGGAAUUUACGGGCAAGAAAAUAUUAAAUGUGCUGCUUCCAUCAGACAGGAUGAGGAAGUGUGCAAAAGGUUCAAAAUUGUGGCUGAAACCCAAUCUAAAUCAUUUGUAUAUCACCUUCCAAACUGCUAUAAGUCAUACACGAUGAAAAAAACACUUGAAUCCGUUGCUCAUUCACGAUCACUAGAAGCAAUUAAUCAGAAAUCGCUGUAUGAAGUAGCUGACCUCAACACUGAGGAAUCUGAGACUAUAUUAAAGUCGCUUCGUAGUGGCACACCUGCUAGGAGUAAGGCCAGCAGUAAAGUUCACCCUGAAUUUUUGUCAUGUGUGGUGUGCGGUUGUGCUAGAUCAAGAUUUGAGGGGAAAAAAGUCCAAGAGAAAUUUCGUAUUUGUGAAAAGGAUAGGGCAAAACUAUUCUUGCUUGCAGGCAGCACAGCAUUUCCAAGAUAAAGUGUUUGUUAGGGUUUCGGAUAUGUCAUCUGCAGAUGCAGUUUUUGAAGCAGACUUAUUUCUCACAAGCACUGCAUUGAAAAUGACACCAUAAGAUAUAAACGUUCAUUCAUUCCACCUCCCUGUGCCGAGAAAAUUCCUGUGUCAGUUCAAAAGCAAUCUCUUUUAUCAAAGGCAUUUGACCUUCUUGAGAAAGGAAAGGGGUUUAAUGUGAGUGACAUCACAGUUUAUAUAGGUACGUUAAAGAAGGGGAGUCAUAUCACACUACAAAAGAGGGAUGUGAACCAACUACUCAUGAACCACUGUGAUAAUAAGAUACAGUUUGCUGCAAUGCUUCUGAGUUGGUGUAUUCACCAGCUAUUCGUCCUGGCGAGCUGGCAAUCAAGAUCAAGAACCAGAAUAUCCUUCAUGAUGCAGGCUACAUAUUGAGAGGGAUUUUACAACAGGUUAACUUUGGUCUUGGGGAUAAAUUUUGUGAUGCUGAGGAGCUGAAAAAUCUUGGGAGGCUGCAACAAUGCCAGAUGGUUUGAUGACAUUCUUUUCAGUGUUAUUUGGUAUUCCAAAAACUAGCAUGGAUGAUGUCCAUCCAGUUGUAAUACCUGAUGAUCAGGAAAUGGAAAUGGAAGGUAAAACUGAUGCUAAUGAUGAUUGUGAUAGUUCUAACUUCACUGUCUAUCUCAGAUUCUCACUUACCAUCUCCAUAAAGGCAUACAAAAGAAUCCAUUACAGGCGACGGUCGGUCAAAGUACAUAUGGUAAGACAAGAAGUCGGGCUAUUAUAACCACACUGAAUCACAUUGGUGCCCCACCAAGUUACAAUGAAGUGGAAAGAGCCAGAAAUCUCCUGGCAUUGUAUGCUGUGCAUGCCUCAGAGGCUAAUGGUACCCUUAUUCCCAGCCCCUUUAGUGACAGUGGCUUUUGUAUUGGAGCAAUGGAUAACAGUGAUUAAGUUGAGUGUCACAAUGUCUAAAGUCAAUCUACCUCAUUUCAACUUGAAUUCCAGUGUGCAAAACUUGGUCGCAACUCCCAAAACUGCUGUUGUAGCUAAGGACAUUGCACAUGCACAUAGGACUGUGGAAAUUGCCAAAGAGACGGGUAUGCCAGUUUCAGAGAUUAUGAAGUAUGACCUCCUCCCCGUCUCUCCUUUGUUUGAUGGCGACUUCACCACGAAAACGGGCAAAUCCCAGCUUGUGGCUGAACUUGAGCAACACCUGACAACAGAACACUGCAAUCGGUUCACCUGGCAGCCACCAAUGAAGACCCAAGUUUUGCUGGAUUUUAUGUCUUAGAUUCGCCAGUACAGGGAUCUUACACAUUUCACGAGUAUUGGUGAAAUUAUUCAUAAUGUCAUGACAUCUCCAAAAUAUGCCUGCGACUCAGAGCCCAUUCACAUAAUUUUUGACAGCUAUAAUGAAUUUUCCAUCGAGGAAGGUGGGCGUAUCAGAAGAGGAGGUAAAUCUGGGGCGGUUGAUUUGAUCAAUAUUAAUGAGGAAAAGCCGAUUCCUAAGAAACUAGACAAUUUGUGCCUCUGGAAAGAAUAAGGAGCAACUGCAAGAGUUGGUCAGUAAGAUGGUGUCCCGAGACAUACAACAUGUGGUCAUCAGUGGUAUGGUAAGAGAUGGUGGAGUGAUUUUAGCUAAACUGGUAGAGAACAGUUGUGUUUGCGAUAUUCCAGAGCUGUCUAACUGGCAAGAAGAGGCUGACUGCCGCAUCAACCCACACGUUGAAUGGAGUGUCAGUAGAGGGUGUCGACGUGCUGUGAUACUUUCAAAGGACACAGACAGUGUUGCUCUAAUUCUGCGUUAUGUGCAUCACUUCAUUGACAAUGGCCUCCAAGAACUGUGGGUUCAGUUUGGGACUGGUGAUAGAAGACGUAUAGUCCUACUUCACAUCAUUUCCCAAAAACUUGGUAGGCCCCCAUUCAUGUCUUUCAUUAUUGAAGGCUCCUGUGCUCACUGGUGAUGACUCCAUGAGCCGAAUUGGUACCAGACAUGCAGCAUUAGUGAGUGAGUAGUCCUACCCAACUACUGGCGAACUUUGCAGAGACUGAUAUAAUAUCUGAUGAGGAUCUGCAUAUGGCUGAAAGAUUCUUAGUAUGAUCAAAGAUCAAAGACUGCAGCAUCAACUUUUGAUGAGCUACAUCAUGAGAUCUAUAUGUCACCAGCGUUUAAAGGACUGGAAAUGCUGCCUCCAACAUCAAGUGCUAUUCAUGGGCACUUACGCCGUGGGUUCUUUGUGUUACGGAAUGCACUAACACUCAUCUCAAGAACAACCAAUGAGCGUGAACCAGAAAAGUUCGGGUGGGAAAGAGAAAGCGGCCAUCACUUACCGAUGAAAUUUCUAAGGACACUUCCAGAUGACAAGUGCACUAGCAAAUGUGAAACAAAACGUUGCCGUUGCAAAGCUGCCAGUGUUUCCUGUGUAACAUACAGCCACAUAGACAGUAGUGACUGUAAAAACAGUGAGAUAUGUGCAUCUGAUGAUGGCAACGAUUUAUAAUGAGCUGCCUUUAUCUAAGACAGAUAAUGAUUGAUUAUACGUAGUUUGCUAUUAAUUAAAACAGAUAUCACAAUUUUCUUUUCACCAUGAUAUGUCACAUAAACAAUUUCAUUUGGAGUUCAGUUAACCUUGUAUUGUAAUUUGUAAAUAAGUGUGUGGAUUUUAUAUUACUCAUUGCAUGAAGUGUUUCUUGUAGCACAUAUUGCUACAAUGACAGAAAGACAGUGGGACUGUAAAAGCAAUGAGGCAUGUGCAGCUAAUGAUGGCAACUUUAAUAAUGAGCUGUCUUUAUCCUAAUACAGAUACCGAAUCGAUUUUUCCUAAUUUGCUAGUGGUUGAAACAAAAAUAAGUUAUAAUGUUCUUUGCACCAUGACAUGUCACGUAAAAAAGUUUCAUUUGGAGUUCAGUUAAACUUGUAUUGUAAUUUGUAAAUAAGGGUGUGGAUAUUACAUUAUUCAUUGCAUGAAGUGUCUUCCUCACUCCAAAUAUAAGGCAUGUCUAUAGAUUAAUCUCAUAGAUACGUCUAUCCAUAAAAAACGUAGAAGUAGGUGAAUUUCUCUUGUUACUGCUUCAUUUGUAGUUGUUUAUCAACAUUGUUUUAAAAGUCUUCAAAAUUCAGUGUAGAUGUUACCCGUCCUUGACAAACCCCAAAUAUCUUUCAAACUGUCUUCGUAAUUCCAAGAAUAAAAUCCAUGUAUUCUAGACAGAUUUAUGAAAUUUACUGCACAAAACCAAGCGCCAAAGCCCAAUGACCAUACAGUGCAACAAAAUAGAUGAGAAAAAAAUAUGUAUGUUUAAAAAUUCCUCAUACACUAAUACACUUUUACACACAAAUCACACCCUAAAAGGAUCAAUACUGACUGAUAC